UUCAUUUAGGUGAGAUAAGGUUGUAGGUUGGCUAGGUCAUGCUGGCCUGAGCAUCAUGGGAUUUUAAACUAAAUGUAAAUGAAAUAGGCUGUUAUCUUUCUUGAACUAAAUGAUCCCCUUCUAUUUCUUUCACAUAAAACCUGUGAGUUUAUACAGGUUUAAUUUUUUUCAAUAAAUUAUGUAAUCAGGUACAAAAACACUCUGAUUCACUGCCUGUUUCAUCAAGGCCAGUUUUUUAAAGAAAGUGGCGUUUAUUCCAUUAAUUAUACCAAAAGGUUCAAAUUAGUCUGAAGAUUGAUAACUCAAGGCAAACCAUUUAUCAAAUUGAUUGUAAAUGUAAAUUUUCUUCUAAAUAACACACAAAUGAAUAAAACAUAUACAGGUUGUCAGUCUGUGGAUUAUGGUAAGCCCUUUCUGAUUACAAGUCAAUUAACAUUUAGCCGUAGGUGACGAAAGUGAACAAGUCUUUGAAUUAUUGAACCGAUUCGUUCAAAUCACUGAUUCAUUCAGGAACGUCACAAUUAUGUUUUGCUUGGAGACGUUCGGUUCGCUGUGGUUACCUUUUCGCUGGCAGAGUAAAUUAAAAUAUUGUGUUUAAAACAUCUUAUGAGAACAGAGCAGAGAAAUAUGUGUGAAUCAGCUGUUUGGUGCUGGACGAAGUGACUAGCUUUUCGCCUUCAGAAAGUACGAGUUGUGUACAAAAAGAUAAAGACAGAGAGAACAGCACUUUGGCCUUCACAGAGACUGGAAGAGACAAGUGCCUGUGGCGUUGUGUUUGGACACACCCACGGAGUGGACUCUGUUGGGCCGAAAGAAAAGGUCACAGAAAUGUCAUGCAGUCAUGUCCUUGAGACGAGGUGGAAGAGAUGCGAUUGGGCCCGGACCCGUCAUCAUCAAGGAGACAGGUGGCCAAGGAGGAAUCGGUCACUAAUGCGGUCGGCUAACUGUGUCAAGGACGCAGAAGCCAAACCUGGUGCAGUUCACCUGUGAGAGACCUGAGAGCACGAACGCAGAGAGGAACUGACCCACUAAACCAACUUACAACUCUACAGUCUGCACUCUUCUUGAAAUUAAAGCAGUGGGAGACUGAUGAGUCCACCUGGACUCCCUGGUGUGUGAGAUGUCCCUGUGAGAGUGAAACACACCGUCCACUCCGCCUCACUAAGUGUGUGUUUGGAGUCAGAGGCACAAUCCACGCUGCUGUGCCCACAGAUGGUCACACUACAGGAGCAAAAUUUUUUUCUGUCUCCCAAUGGUGUCUCCCAAUGGUUUUUUUUUUUCAUUCUUGAGAGAGAGAGAAACAAACACAUUGUCUGACCUAGAAUGCAUACAGUGUGGUUAACAAGCCUUAUCAAUAUUAUCAUGACAGGUUAAAACUGCAUUAUUUUUAGGAGGCAAUAUCAGCUUCUCAAGUUCACACAGGUAUCCUAAGAGAAUAACCUUGUGUAUCUUCAUAUGAACCCACUGUAAAUAUCCGGUUUAAGUUACAGUUAAAAAGUAAACAAAUAUGGCAGCUGCGGUUACCAGAAAUUCACUGCAAAACAAUUACAGUGAACAUUUCCGGUAUUACUGGAAUACACUAAAAGACAAAACGCCAACAAAUGUGACCCAUAAACAUCCGAUAAGCAUUAGCCAUAUAAAAUCAAAUUUAACAUAAGACACCCUAAUGUAUUACUGAUUAGAAAUAUAAAAAUCAAAUGUUAUCAUAUGUCGUGUUAAACAGACAUGCUCCACUAACAUUUGGCAACCAGAAAUUAAUUCCACAGAUUUAAUGUUAUUAUUAUUAAAGACUGUGUAAAUGUAUUAUAUUAUAUUAUACUGUAAACAAAUGAUUUAUGCAAUUUUGUUAUUUUCUAUCAAUAAUAUAAUUAUACUGUGUGUAAUGUAGAGACUCAUUUUCAAUGUAAAUUAUAUGGUCAGUUUUUACUUGCAAAAACAAUAAAAUUACUCAAACAUUUUUUCACUGUAUAUGAUAAAGGAACCUCUAGUUAAAUGAUCAAAAUAUUUUUACUGUAUCAUUUUAGACACAUUCCAGUAACAUUUGGCAACCAAUAAUCGUCCAAUUAGUUUUCUUAACAAACUUCUAUCUUUGUGAACUGUUUUGUUUAAUGUGCUUAUACUAUAUAUCUUUUAAAUAAAUGUUAUAAAAAAAAAGUAAUAUACUAACACUUCUUAGACUUAAAGGUGUGGCUUAAGCGUCCAAAUGCAACACUUUGUGAACUUAAGGUUUUACUUAAAUCAUCCAUCGUGUUUCCACAAAUACACAAAUUGCAACAGGAUGUGUCCUCAAAUGCCUUUUGGUUCUUGCCUGAGUGAUUAUAUACACACAGCUUGCUUGACCUUGAGAGACUGAACUAUCUUCUAUUCAAGCCUUUUGAACACGCACCAUUGCUCGCGUAGGAGGGUCUUGAUUGGUUGCAGAACAUAACAUCAGCAGUGACAUCAUGAGCUGCCAGUGGUCAUUAAGUGGUCAGUACGGCCAGCAUGAGCUAUUUGAAUGAACAUGAUAAUUAUAGAUAAUGUUUCUCUAAAAGUGUCACAGAUCAAUUCUAGCUUCUAACAUUAGAGAUCUUUGCGUCUAUAAAUAUUUUACUGUAGUGGCAGUCCCUUCCUAUUCCACUCCUUUGACCUUCCUUAUAUAAAUCUUUUUUGAAGAAGUGGAAUUACUUAAUCUAAUUAUAUAGCAGUCGUGCGGUUUUUAAUAAGCCUUAUAUCUGAGUGACAUUGCCUGCCAUUCACUGAGACACUGCUCUGUAUCUGCUCUUUCAGCCUCAUUCUUUUUGUCAGACACACCGCAUUAACCUGGUUUUCUUGCAGUGCAUUAUAAGUAGGUCAAGCUUAAGGUCAAGUAAUGUUGCAUUUAGCUUUCAAAUCAUGCAGCGUUGUUCACCUGGAUAAAAGCAUGACAGCAUUUGUUGCCAGUGAAGAGACUACAUUUUAUAUUGAAUGAUUUAAAUUAAAUGUGAUUCCUCAUUUUUACGCUUGUGAGAACAUCACGUCCCGUGCAUGCCCUUGUGUGUGUGUCAUUCGGCCUGAUUUUGAGGUCUCAGAUUGGCUGUGUCUCAAAACAGUGAGCUGCCUUCCUUCCUUGAAAGCUUUUUAGGUUUAUGGUGUGAUCGAUGCUGAUGCUAUUUUAUAUCUUUAUUCAGUACUAGUAUCAGUAAGAAAUACUAAUUCUAACCACCACGUGCCUCUAACAUUUAGACUACUGGUUGAUCAUUAUGGGUUUUUCUUUGACCAAUUGUUAAAUCUUUUUAAAAACCCAUAAAUCCAAAAAUACUGUCAAAGCCAGAAAAAAAAAGAAGCAAAAAGCGUGGCAAAUCAUACAUAACAAACCUUCAGUUUAGUGUAUUUUGCAUUUAAAGAUAUAUAAUAAACUACAGACUCAAAUAGUCUAAAUAAAAUAAUAAUUUAAAAGUGUAUUUUGGAUGUUUAUAUUCCACUAAUCUGAAACAACACGAUAUGGAAGACCAAAUAGGUCAAAAUCUCAAAAUUGACCAGUUCUUGAAUAAAAAAGGUUUUUGCCUGUAGUCUCUUGCCUUAAUGGAGUAUAGAUUUUCUUUUGGAGUUUUGCACACUGUGUGUCUACUUUUUUGUCAAAAAUUAUUUUCUUUUUUUUCCCCAGUACCCACGUAUGACUUGCGUAGUCUUGCUUUUGUUACAUGUAUGCGAUGAAUGAGUCAGUGAACCGGUGUUGUGGCCAGUCAUUAAGUAUAAACACGAGCGCUGUGAGAGCAAGCCUCUGAAAUAACACCGCAAUCACUCUCUACUGAGUGCAUUCAGAAAUGCUUUGACAAUCUCACACUCCCUUGCUUCGUGGACAUUUAAAUGUGCUCACUGCUGCCCGGGCAAACUUAUUCUAAAGGUCUUACUUAUUAGCCAGAAAAAGUUUGCCUUUCAUUUUCACUCUUUAAUCACCUUGCAUAUUACCAUAUGCAAAGUAGAUUAAUAAAUUCAAGUUAAUAAGGUUGUAUUGUUAGGGAGAAGUAGGUCUUAUGAACUGGAACUAGCGCAUACGGACACUUACAGACAUGCGUAAAUGCUAGGAUACUGAAAAGUAAAGCCAUCAUAAAAUACACUUAAUAGAUGAAGCUCAACAGUUUAUCUCAUACAGCACUUGUAGCUAGGACAUAGUUGAAAACUGCGGUCAGCCUCAUAGUCUUAAUGUAAUAGCCAUUCCUCUCUCGUUCUACUUUCUAAACAGCCUGUACAUCUGGGAGCUGCUCUAUAUAUUAUUAUUGGGCUCCAUGUUUUAUUAUUGUGAACCCCCAAGUGAGCCAAUGGCAGGCCAACCAAUGUCCUCAUGUCCGAUAAAAACUGCCCACAGUUUAUAUCAUCUGUGACCACCUGGUUUAUAAUGUAUGUUCUGUAUAAUGCAUUUAUUUUUUUAUGGUGUGGCUGUCUAUAUACACAUCCACUCAUGUGUAGAUCAUGGAUACGAUGCGUGUUCUAGUUUGUCUGUGUAUCUUGGUCCUUAUUUUUGUCAAGCAGAGUGAUUGACACACACACACAUUCUGAAUCUGACCUGUACUUAUUUAAAAAUGUAAAAUAAGGUUUAAAUUGUCUUGCAUAUUAAAUGAUUAACUUGAUGCUGACAAAUGGGUAAAACCUGUGAUUUGAAGAAUAUAUCUGCAUAGUGGUUUGAAGGAUAGCAAUUAAUGAUAAAGAUUUAAAAUGACAAUUUUAAUUAGUUUUUAGCCCUUUAAUACAUUAAAUAUAGUAUUUUUAAUGUAAUUGAAUUGUUCUAAG